AAAUUACUGAUAGUGGACUUGCAGCCCUAACUAGUUUGACAGGAUUGACCCAUCUGGACCUCUUUGGAGCUCGUAUUACGGAUUUUGGAACAAACUAUUUGCGAAAUUUCAAAAAUCUUCAGUCUUUGGAAAUAUGUGGUGGAGGAUUAACUGAUGCUGGCGUAAGGAACAUUAAAGAUCUUUCAUCCCUGUUGCUGCUAAAUUUGUCACAAAACUGCAAUCUAACAAAUAAAUCAUUGGAAUUGAUUUCUGGGUUGACAGGAUUGGUCUCGUUGAACGUCUCAAAUUCCCGUGUGACCAGUGCAGGGUUGCAGCAUUUGAAGCCACUGAAAAAUUUAAGAUCAUUGACCUUGGAGUCAUGCAAGGUGACAGCUAAUGACAUUAAGAAGCUUCAGUCAACUUACCUCUCUCAACUGGUGAGCUACCGGCCUGAGUAGUAGUUGACGUGGGGGCAGGGGGAAGGAGAAGGAUAUGGAACACGCUGCAAAUAGGUUGUGUUUGAAAGAGUGAAGGUGCUGGUGUUUUAAAUGAAGAUA
rnacentral:misc_RNA from 1 species